CUGCUUUGGCAGCACAUCUGCUAGAGCUGGAAUAGCACAGAGAAGAUCAGCAUGGGCCCUGUGCAAGGAUGACACACAAAUCUGUGAAGUGUUCUAUAUUAAA